GUUGUAUAGUCAAGUAAUUAAGUGCAUGUGGUGGAUGCCUUGGCAGUCAGAGGCGAUGAAAGACGUGAUAGCCUGCGAAAAGCUCCGGGGAGGCGGCAAAUAUCCUUUGAUCCGGAGAUGUCUGAAUGGGGGAACCCACCUACUUUAAGGUAGGUAUUGCAACAUGAAUACAUAGUGUUGCAAGGCGAACGAGGGGAAGUGAAACAUCUCAGUACCCUUAGGAAAAGAAAUCAAUUGAGAUUCCCUCAGUAGCGGCGAGCGAACGGGGAUCAGCCCAUUAAGUUAUGUGUGUUUUAGUGGAACGCUCUGGGAAGUGCGAACGUAGAGGGUGAUAUUCCCGUACACGAAAGGGCACACAUAAUGAUGACGAGUAGGGCGAGGCACGUGAAACCUUGUCUGAAUAUGGGGGGACCAUCCUCCAAGGCUAAAUACUCCUGACUGACCGAUAGUGAACCAGUACCGUGAGGGAAAGGCGAAAAGAACCCCUGUGAGGGGAGUGAAAUAGAUCCUGAAACCGCAUGCAUACAAGCAGUGGGAGCACCUUCGUGGUGUGACUGCGUACCUUUUGUAUAAUGGGUCAGCGACUUAUAUUCAGUAGCAAGGUUAACCGUAUAGGGGAGCCGUAGAGAAAUCGAGUCUUAAUAGGGCGUUUAGUUGCUGGGUAUAGACCCGAAACCAGGCGAUCUAUCCAUGAGCAGGUUGAAGGUUGGGUAACACUAACUGGAGGACCGAACCCACUGUCGUUGAAAAGCCAGGGGAUGACUUGUGGAUAGGGGUGAAAGGCUAAUCAAGCCUGGUGAUAGCUGGUUCUCCCCGAAAGCUAUUUAGGUAGCGCCUCGGACGAAUACCAUAGGGGGUAGAGCACUGUUUCGGCUAGGGGGUCAUCCCGACUUACCAAACCGAUGCAAACUCCGAAUACCUAUGAGUACUAUCCGGGAGACAGACUGCGGGUGCUAACGUCCGUAGUCAAGAGGAAAACAAUCCAGACCGCCAGCUAAGGCCCCAAAAUCAUAGUUAAGUGGGAAACGAUGUGGGAAGGCAUAGACAGCUAGGAGGUUGGCUUANNNNNNNNNNNNGAAGCAGCCACCCUUUAAAGAAAGCGUAAUAGCUCACUAGUCGAGUCGGCCUGCGCGGAAGAUGUAACGGGGCUAAAACUAUGUGCCGAAGCUGCGGAUGUAUACUUUGUAUACGUGGUAGGGGAGCGUUCUGUAAGCCGAUGAAGGUGUGUUGAGAAGCNNNNNAUGCUGGAGGUAUCAGAAGUGCGAAUGCUGACGUGAGUAACGACAAAACGGGUGAAAAACCCGUUCGCCGAAAGACCAAGGGUUCCAGUCCAACGUUAAUCGGGGCUGGGUGAGUCGACCCCUAAGGCGAGGCCGAAAGGCGUAGUCGAUGGGAAAAUGGUUAAUAUUCCAUUACUUCUGUGUAAUGCGAUGAGAGGACGGAGAAGGCUAAAUCAGCCUGGCGUUGGUUGUCCAGGUGAAAGGAUGUAGGCAUGUAUCUUAGGCAAAUCCGGGGUACUCUAUGCUGAGAUCUGAUAGCAAGCUGUACUUGUACAGCGAAGUGGUUGAUGCCAUGCUUCCAGGAAAAGUCUCUAAGCUUCAGUUACACAGGAAUCGUACCCGAAACCGACACAGGUGGUCAGGUCGAGUAGACCAAGGCGCUUGAGAGAACUCUGCUGAAGGAACUAGGCAAAAUGGUACCGUAACUUCGGGAGAAGGUACGCUGUUGUUGGUGAUGGAACUCGCUUCCUGAGCUGACGACAGCCGCAGAAACCAGGCCGCUGCAACUGUUUAUUAAAAACAUAGCACUCUGCAAACACGAAAGUGGACGUAUAGGGUGUGAUGCCUGCCCGGUGCUGGAAGGUUAAUUGAUGGGGUUAGCGUAAGCGAAGCUCUUGAUCGAAGCCCCAGUAAACGGCGGCCGUAACUAUAACGGUCCUAAGGUAGCGAAAUUCCUUGUCGGGUAAGUUCCGACCUGCACGAAUGGCAUAAUGAUGGCGGCGCUGUCUCCAGCAGAGGCUCAGUGAAAUCGAAAUCGCUGUGAAGAUGCAGUGUACCCGCGGCUAGACGGAAAGACCCCGUGAACCUUUACUGCAGCUUGACACUGAACUUUGACCUUACUUGUGUAGGAUAGGUGGGAGGCUUUGAAGCUGGAACGCUAGUUCCAGUGGAGCCGUCCUUGAAAUACCACCCUGGUAAUGUUGAGGUUCUAACUCUGUCCCGUGAUCCGGGACGAGGACCGUGUCUGGUGGGUAGUUUGACUGGGGCGGUCUCCUCCUAAAGAGUAACGGAGGAGUACGAAGGUGCGCUCAGCGUGGUCGGAAAUCACGCGUAGAGUAUAAAGGCAAAAGCGCGCUUAACUGCGAGACCCACAAGUCGAGCAGGUACGAAAGUAGGUCUUAGUGAUCCGGUGGUUCUGUAUGGAAGGGCCAUCGCUCAACGGAUAAAAGGUACUCUGGGGAUAACAGGCUGAUACCGCCCAAGAGUUCAUAUCGACGGCGGUGUUUGGCACCUCGAUGUCGGCUCAUCUCAUCCUGGGGCUGAAGCAGGUCCCAAGGGUAUGGCUGUUCGCCAUUUAAAGAGGUACGCGAGCUGGGUUUAGAACGUCGUGAGACAGUUCGGUCCCUAUCUACCGUGGGCGCUGGAAAUUUGAGAGGAUCUGCUCCUAGUACGAGAGGACCAGAGUGGACGAACCUCUGGUGUACCGGUUGUGACGCCAGUCGCAUCGCCGGGUAGCUAUGUUCGGAAGGGAUAACCGCUGAAAGCAUCUAAGCGGGAAGCCUACCUCAAGAUAAGAUUUCCCUAGGACUUUAUGUCCUCUAAAGAGCCGUUCGAGACUAGGACGUUGAUAGGUUGGAUGUGGAAGCAUAGUGAUAUGUGAAGCUGACCAAUACUAAUUGCUCGUGAGGCUUGACUAUACAACACCCAAGCAGUUG
rnacentral:rRNA from 1 species